ensembl:snRNA U6 U6 spliceosomal RNA
GUGCUUGCUUUGGCAGCACAUAUACUAAAAUUGGAAUGACACAGAAGAUUAUUAGCAUGGACCCUGUGCAAGGAGGUCAUACAAAUUUGUGAAGUAUUCUACAUUUAA